rnacentral:lncRNA from 1 species
AGCACUUUGCAACAAUUUAAUAAUUUAUUACAUUACAGUAGCAUCACAGUAGCAGUGAAUAAUGCCACUUUAGGCAACAGUGUUUCAGUAUUUCCAUUAUACAUUCUAAGAAAACUUGGCAAAUAAAGCUUUGCAUUGGAAUUGGCAUUUCUUUCUCUACUUUUCCUUCCCCCAGUUUCUUUCUUUUAAACUACAGUAUUCAUAUUUCAAAAUGUCUUAACUUAUUUUAAAACUUAAGAUAGCAGUUACAUUUUUGAAUAGUUAUAUUCUUUUAAAAUGACUCUUUAAGAUAAAGUUUUAGAGAAACUAUUAUGGAUAGGGCUGAUUUACAUUUUCACAUUUUCUAAAUAUCAGCUUUGGUUUUAGAACUGACUUUUUUUCAUUUCUGGAAAACCUAUCAGAUUUAAUCAAAUACUUUAAAAAUGAUUAUAUAUUGCAAUCUUUAAAUCGGUUUUUAAUUCUUUACUUCCUACAGAAAUUCAGAUUUAUUCAGUUGAACCCACACUUUAAAAUUCUAUGUUUCUGAUUAAACUCUACCCUUCUAAUGUUGCCUUCUAAGCAAAUUGAAAGCUGCCUUAUACUGAAUGAGGAAGAGAACAAAUACUUGGCUGAAUGAGGUAUUGCAAAGGACCACAUGCACUUUGAAGAAAGACUUAAGUUAUUGUUAUAUGAUUUACAUGCUAUUUAAUUUUUCUUAAAUAUAUGACAGAAUACCUACACAAAGAGUGGUAUUUCAGUUAAUAUAGUACAUUCAUUUUCCAGACUGACAUUCAGCUUAAAUAUGCCGGUGUGUGAUUUAAUCCACAGGUACCUGAUGAACACAUUAUUGUCAGAUUGGUUGCAGGUGCUAAAGGCUAGCUGAAGAUCAUUCCUAGUCAUUUAUAUUUAUCAGGGUAAAAGUGAAGUGAUUUGAACUAUAAAAAUACCUUUGAAAUAAUUUAUCAAUGUAUUAGGUAAACCCAGUUUCAGAAUUAUAAAGAAAAACUGUUAGACCAAAUAAGGUGGCUAAUUAACAGUGGUAUGAUUUCUAGCCCGAGGGUCUAAAUUGGACUCAAACUGUCUUUAAACUGAACUCAAAGAAUGCAAAAGUGGCAAGUUCAGAAAAUAAAAGGCAAGAACAGGACUUGAAGUCCAUUUUAAACCCUCGGGCUAGAAAUCGUCCUACUGUUAAUUAGCCACAUUCGUUGGUCUAACAGUUUUUCUUUAUAAUUCUGGAACUGAGUUUAUCUAAUACAUUGAUAAAUUCAUACAAUUUGGAAGAGUCAGUUGAAGUCACAAGGACUUAAUAUUUGCACUCUUUCACUGAAUGCAGGCACAUCUGUUAUUCCAUCUGUAAAAUCGUAUUAUUGCUCUCCUAUUAAUGUCAUAUGUAUAAAAGUAUCAUGAGGAUGCCAAAUGCUAAAAAUGGAGAUGGUCUAGUAACUAGAAAUGCCCACCCCAGGGAGCGCACACACAUCUCUCCCUGCAUCCUAAUACUGUGACGUAUUUUGGAACACAGACAUUAGAACUUCAUGAACUUUUAGCUGUUGAUUCUUUCCCAAGCAUCUUAAAGUUAUGAUUUAGGCAAUGUAUGACUGAAAUAAUUCACUCAUCACGUAUAGGCACAUUAACAUAAAUAUGGCACAAAAUAUGCCUCUAACUGAAACUGAGAGGUAUAAAAACAUAUUUCACUCUUUGUGAAGAACUUUGUGAGGAAACAUAAGUCUGUCAUUGUAUAGACACUUUUUCUCAUAAUACUUGGACAUUCACAAACAUUAGAUUGCACUGCAGCUUGUAAACAUUUUAAGUUGCAUAAACUUCGCCUUGAUUUUCAUGUGUAGUAUAAUACUGUCUACUAAAACUCCUUUUUGUUUCAACUAAGUACUCUCACAUAUAUUGGUUUAUAAUAAUGGUUGUUAUUAUUUUUAAAGUGUUUUCCAUUCAAAGAAAAGAAGUAAAUUCCUAUGUCAGAGUAACUAAUGUGGCUGAAGAAUAGGUAUUAGCCAGAGAGGUCUAGAUGAUAAAAUCAAUCUUCUAGCCUCAAAGAAGCUCCAUGAACAUAGAGGAAGGCCAGGUGUCACACAGCUUUCCUUCACUCAAAUUCAUUCUUGACUAGAGCCUGUAUGCCUCUUCCAGGGACAUUUAAACUCUUAAAGGAUUUCUUAUGAUCUUCACUAAAUACCUUAAGAAGAAUGCCAACCAGUGCCCUUUUGUGUACUGGGACAUAUACUCGUGAUUAAAACAGGUAACAUGAACUCUGACUUUAAAAUGUAUUGUAGAUAUAAAUGCUCUAAGCUAGAAAAGGUUUUCCACAUCCACAGUCAAUGAUGGGAGCCUUUCAUUCCUCAGAAAUAAUCCCUUUUUAGGUCAUCAAGAAAGGGUACAACUGCU